GAGGGUACAGCUCAGUGGUAGAGCGUGUGCUUAGCAUGCACGAGGUUCUGGGUUCAAGCCCCAGUGUCUCCU
rnacentral:tRNA from 1 species